CCCUCGGCGUUGAAACUCCUUACCCAGAGGACCACCCUGUCGCGCCGCCGUGACCCUUGCCAGCCACCCUGAGCCGUCGCAGUGGCCUUCUCCCUCUCUCGGUGAGGAUGAUGAAUACGAGUAGGCAGGCCAGGAAUAGAAGGAACAGUUAAUUUUUAGUUUAGACUUUCUAAAAUAAAACAUGCUUUUAUGACGUGAAUUUAUUUAGUUUAUUCAUUUAAUGUUUUUG